UAUCUUUUUUCUUGCUCGCCUGGUGUUUAGGCACACGGGCUUCAUAUUAACAACUGAAAAUAUAUCCUUAAGAUUUUUUUUUCUUGUCGCGUAUUACUUCUUAUGAUAAGUAAAAGAAAAAAAAAACAAAAAACAAAAAACAAAAAACUUAGUUAAGAAUCGGAGACAUCGUAAACUGCCACAGUGAUAAGGGAUUUUUAUUUUUUUUUUCCUGCGCCCUUUAAAAAAAAAAAAAAAAAAACAAUAAACAGUGGAUGUUUUACAGUGCAGUCAGAUAGGGUCGAGUGUCUCUCCUCCCCUGCACACCGCGGGUACCUGACGAGCAGAUCUGGAUUAAGACUAAUGAACCGGGGGUAAAUAAUCUCCACGGGACCGUUGACGGGACGGAAAGACGGACUCAUUACCUCGCUGUGGGAUUUUUGUUGCUUUUCUUUUUUCUACACUUCUUCAUUCUGAGGAACGGACGAUGUCUCUCCGCGGAUACUUUGUCGCUUUUUUAAAAUGCACAGUUGUGCUCUCGCUGAGGAUUUUGCUUCUUGUGCCUGCAGGGUUGCCCGUCCACAGCCAAGGGGAUUCUCAAUCCGACAACAAAGUGAUGGACAAUAUCACCGUGCGACAAGGAGAGACGGUCUUCCUCAGGUGUGCUCAGGGGGAUAUUGUCACACACACAGCAUGGCUAAACCGAUCAAGUAUACUGUAUGCUGGAGAAGACAAAUGGUCAGUGGACCCAAGAGUGAGUCUGGUGACCCUUAAUCAAGAGGAGUUUACCAUCAAGAUUGAAAACGUGGACAUGACAGAUGAAGGGCAGUAUGUGUGCGCAGUCCAGACAAGCAGUCGACCGAGAACCACCUCAGUGCACAUCCUCGUCCAAGUACCACCAAAAAUCAUCAACCUGUCAAGAGAUAUAGUAGUUAAUGAAGGCUCCAACAUCACCCUGUUGUGUCAAGCCAGUGGUAAACCAGAGCCUUCCAUCAGCUGGAAACUCAUCUCCCCUUCAGGGGACCUGGCAUCAGAUGAUGAGUACCUGGAAAUCCCAUCCAUCUCCAGACAGAGAGCAGGGACGUACGAAUGCACAGCUGUGAAUGAUAUCGACACAGAUGUCCAGACUGUAGACAUCACUGUCAACUAUGCUCCGACAGUGUCAGAGGGCAGAGAUGUUGGAGUGACUCUAGGCCAAAGAGGAGUGUUGGAGUGUGAGGCUGAUGCAGUGCCUGAGGCAGAUUUUGAGUGGUAUAAAGAUGACAGAAGGAUUUUCAAUGGUUUUGAUGGCAUGGAAAUUGUGAAUACUGGAUCACUGUCAAAGCUGACUUUUUUUAACGUCACCGAUGGAGAUUAUGGAAACUACACUUGUGUCGCCAUCAACAAACUUGGGAGCUCAAACACAAGCUUCCUUCUGUUUGCUGUACGUCCUACCAGGAAAAUAGGGAGGGCAAACACAAAAAGCUGUAGAACCUCACUGAAGGUUGAAGGCUGGAUCUGCAAAUAGUGAUAAACCCAUCUUGCCAUUUAAUGCAUCCUUUUGACCGCUGGUUGCUGCAUCUUGACCGAGAGCAGUUCAGGAUGGCAGCGGCGCUGCAGUGGGAGUGCACUCACAAACCUGUCUCCUCUUCUUGGUUUUUCUGCCGUUCCUGCUCAGAUUUUGAAGAGGGAUGGAUUUGAACACAAAUAGUGCGUGUGUGUGUGUGUGUGUGUGUGUGUGUGUGUGUGUGUGUGUGUGUGUGUGUGUGUGUGUGCGUGUGCAUGUGUGUGUGAGUGGCGUGUCUGUGUGUGGUUGCUUGUGUGCGUGCCUGACUCUUUUUUUUUUUUUUUUCAAACUGGAAACAUAAACUGAUGCACAGUGAGUGCACGGAUUGUCCUGCUACAUAAUGAUGUUGACCCACUAAAUAAGAGUGUAACAAACAUUGCUGUUGUUUUUUAGAUUUCGAGGAUGUAACAAAUGAUUUACAUUUGAAUUGAAUUCUGUUGGAUAUUUUUUCUCUCUAAAUUAUAUUAUUCUGGAUUGUCUCAUUUUAUGUAUAUGUCACAGAAAAGAAGAUUUUUUUAGAUGUGGUGUCUCCAAUCUAAAUUGAUUUGUCUUAAUUUUUAAGCGCAUUGCAUAUUCAUCUCAACUCCAGGAAAAGGUACAUUUACAGCAAGUAUGUGAGGUGAAUGUUAAAUACCUCAAAGUCAAACCGAGACAGUGAGGCAGAAGGAAUUUAGGAACCCUGAGGCGGAAAGCCUGGUGGUAUCAUAUUUUAAUGUAUAAUAAUUAUCAUUCAGUCUGGUUGUUGAGAGCAGAAUGGUUUUUAACCUUCAAGUAUUUUUUUUUUUUUUUCGGCAUUAUAGAGAUAUACUUGCAGCUGUGAUAUGCUAAUCUCUUUUAUGUUUUCAUGAUGUUCAAUGUUUAGUUUUAAAUAUUUUUUGAGAAGGGAAAUUAUGAUAUGAGAAGUUGUAAUUAUUUGGAACACAUAUCCUAGUUUUAUGUUGUUGUCUUUUUUUAUUAUUUUACUAGUCCUGUUACACAAAAAUGGUGUCAAGAAUAAUGACAUUAUAAUUAAAUAGUUAAAAAUGGAGGGAAAGUUUACUCCACUUGUGUGGAGUCAAUUUCAAUGACCUAAGUAGUAUAACAUUUAUUAAUGCUGUUGAUAUUUGUUUGAACAUAUGUCAUUUCCAUACCACAAGCAAAUGUUCAUGUUCAUGUUCCAAACCAGCACUGGAGAGUUACAUCCACUCAGUAAAAUCAUGUUAUAAGCAAAUAAACAUUAUUUUUUUUGCAUGUAUUUAGACACCAAUAACCCAAAGACUAAAGCAUUUUACAGCACCAUACUUCACAGGUUUUCUGUUUUCUGGUCUCAACACCAAACAAAACACACUGACACUUUUUGCAUAGUGUUGUCUUUUUCACAGACAAGAGAGCAAACAUGUUGUGUUAUAGUAUGGAGGUAAUUUAGAGGGGGGAAAAAAACAUAAAAAAUUUUAGAUAUCUUUAAACCAAAAUGUAAAGUAUGUGGUUUGUGACUGUGAAAUGUUCACAGAACAUGAUAUUUGCAGCUCUUAUUGAAAAAGAGGUGCACUGUACAGUUUUCAAGCCAGUUAUAAUAACCAAGAAUGAGCAAACCUGCGGGAAAAAGGCUGCAUCUGUUCUUGCCAUUUGAUACCUUGCAUUAUCAGAAAAGGCAGGAUAUGUGCAAAAACAAAUCACAUCUCCAUUAUUUUUUUUUAUUUAUUUAUUUUUUUUAUGGAGAGGGAUCAGUGCAGGCAGACAACCACUGCUGUUUUGGAGAGGCAGCAAACAAACGAAAGACCUAUGUCACCUUGUUCAGUUGCGAGUACAAGGAUUUUAUGCAACAAUCAGAAACCUCUCACAACACAGCAGCAAGAAUUGGAGACAGCAGCCUAAUUUAUCUUUCUUAAGUCUUGGCAAAUAGUUCACAUGGACUGCCAAACUACUCAGGUUCCCCACAGCAGUGGAAAAACUGAGUGAAACAAUGACAAAGCUUGGUCUGUGCGACUGGUUUUAUUAGGUGGAAGGAAAUUUGUGGAUAUCAUGCCUCUCUUGCAAAGUGUACAACCCAGUCCUGCCAGAAUAAAUGUUGGCCAAGAGCGCUUCUGCAAAACAACAAAUUAUUGUAAGUUAACAUCUUUUUAGAUUCAAUAUAAAUUAGUGCAUUUGUCACAAUGCUGUGAUUUUGGUCUGGUUAGGUUUAGGCCAAAAAAGAACAAACAACAACAAUAUUUUGUUGGAAAAAGAUCAUGAUUUGGCUUUAAAAACUUGUCUUGGUUGCCACAAACACAACUGGAGAUAUUCCUGGAUGUUGUUAAAACAUAUCUAGUUAUUUCACACCUGAUUUACUUGAACUGUGGUCACUAACUUGGCAUCCUUCGCGCCUGUAACUCUACUAUCAUCCCCUUUAUUUCUCAACAUGUCAGGUAACAAACAUGUAAUAUGAAUGUGAUAUGACAUGUGUUGUGGAAAUGUCAAUACAGUACAUGGCCUAUGACAAGUAAAAAUGUGAGUGAUUCAGUGGUUUUCUGAAACGUUCAGUGCCAACCUUUUAUCUUGAUGACUGGGCUGAACAGGUGUAUGUGUACAUUCAAACACUACUAUCUACUGCCUCUUGGUCUUGGUUUCUGCAAUAACUGCAGUCCACAUCAUUGGAUUAUGUGUAGCACUAA